GAUGAACGCUGACAGAAUGCUUAACACAUGCAAGUCAACUUGAAUUUGGGUUUUUAACUUAGGUUUGGGUGGCGGACGGGUGAGUAACGCGUAAAGAACUUGCCUCACAGCUAGGGACAACAUUUGGAAACGAAUGCUAAUACCUAAUAUUAUGAUAAUAGGGCAUCCUAUAAUUAUGAAAGCUAUAAGCGCUGUGAGAGAGCUUUGCGUCCCAUUAGCUAGUUGGAGAGGUAACGGCUCACCAAGGCGAUGAUGGGUAGCCGGCCUGAGAGGGUGAUCGGCCACAAGGGGACUGAGACACGGCCCUUACUCCUACGGGAGGCAGCAGGGGGGAAUAUUGGACAAUGGACCGAGAGUCUGAUCCAGCAAUUCUGUGUGCACGAUGAAGGUUUUCGGAAUGUAAAGUGCUUUCAGUUGGGAAGAAACAAAUGACGGUACCAACAGAAGAAGUGACGGCUAAAUACGUG
rnacentral:rRNA from 1 species